UACAGAGGGCGCGAGCGUUGUCCGGAAUCAUUGGGCGUAAAGAGCGCGUAGGCGGCCCUGUAAGUCCGCUGUAAAAGUCCAGGGCUCAACCCUGGAACGCCGGUGGAUACUGUCGGGCUAGAGUCCGGAAGAGGCGAGUGGAAUUCCUGGUGUAGCGGUGGAAUGCGCAGAUAUCAGGAGGAACACCGAUGGCGAAGGCAGCUCGCUGGGACGGUACUGACGCUGAGGCGCGAAAGCGUGGGGAGCGAACAGG
rnacentral:rRNA from 1 species